GGCUGGUCUGAGUACAGUGGUGUUGUUUACAACUAAUUGAUCACAGCAGUUACAGAUUUCUUGGUUCCUUCUCCACUCCCACUGCUUCACUUGACUAGCCUUAA
rnacentral:Y_RNA from 1 species